GUUACGUGUGAUUUUCUCUGUCUUCACAGAAGUGUUUGAUUUUAUAGCCACAAAGGCAGCUCCAAAAAUAACGUAGGAAAUGUUAAGGUAGGAGUAGUAACCAAAACCAGAGAAGAAUGAAAAAGAGGGUGUGGGUAUAUGUACACAGAGAGUGUUCAGAGUCAUUUAUGUGGCAUUUAUCAUUUCAUACCUGUUAAUAAAUUUAUGCUUAGAAUAUCCUCCCAGAUUAGGAAGCAUUCAUCUGUAUGUGUGAGAAACAGAGAGAACAAGAAAGACUGAGAUAGAAUUCUUAGAAGACUCCCAAAUGACUAAAUAUUUGUUAUUACAUAAGCUGUUGAGUUUCUUACUCCUCUCUCAUCAAAGACAGACCCAUCUUCCUCUUGAUGUAACAAACUCUACAUUCACUAAGACUAUCCCUGCCACAAAGCCCACAAAGCUAUACUUUGUCUCUAAGUUACUAUGCAAAAAUGAAAAUACCUAUUUCAGUAUUUAUUUCCUACGGAGUAAUGGAACUUAAUUGAGAAGUAAAUGGUAUUUAAACUAGAGUGACAAAAAUAUAAUCCAACUGAAACUCAGUCAGUCCACUGUUUCAUAAGGUCAGGCUUUAUCAAGAAAGAAGGAGAACUAGAAGCUUUCGAGGGGCAGGAAAAAAUAUUCUCCUCCUGUGGUUACCUCAAACUCUGUUUCAGUGGGUGAACACUACUGUGAACUUACCCACAUUUGAAAGUGGUAUGAAGAUCUGGUUAUCUGAGAGAAAAGAUCUGUCAAUGAAAAGGGAUUUGAUCAGAUUAUGUUGAUGUUCUAAAAUACAAUCAAAUCACAGGAAAAUACUGCCUUGAGUAAAAAAGUGCAAAGGAGAAGCUAGGAGCAGUUUGUGGUCAGGCUAAAAAGACCCACUGCAGAACUGUGUUGGUUGGCACCUGCCUGGUCAUCAGGAGAGUAAGGAAAUGGAAGCUUGAAUUUGUCUCUUUUUCAUCUCAUAUAUAUAUCCUUAACAUGGACAUAUUUUUCCCCUAUAUGAAGCACUUUGAAAUGAUCUGAUUUCAUAAUGAAAUGGAAAUGGAACAUUUUUGUAAUCUCAGAACAUUUCAUAGGUCACGCAGUUCAUUCCCUGCUUAGACCUUGUUGUGCCCGUGUCUUAAUCAAGCUCUAUCCAUUAAUAUAAUUCAUUCAGAAGUAAUGCACAUAGAAGGAGCCUGCAAGUAUUACCAGUAAAAAGAUAAACAAGCUAAUUGCUCUGUGAAGUGAUCAGUUUAUUCUUGUAAUGAACAACAUAUAAAUAAACCUUAACCUACCUUCAUAACAUUUGUUCACCAUCUUCUUUCUGUCUUGAGAUAUGAAGAAUCUUGUAAGCAUUAAUCUUUAAUUCAGGAAGUCAUUUGAGUACAUGCUUAAAUGGCUCUUCUGAAAAGGGCUUAACUGAAACACUUGUAUAAGUGUUUUCCUAAUUAGAGACUAAUUGAUGAAACCUCCUGACCUCCUUGUGAAGGGAUAUUUUUCAGAUGGGAAAAUGGAAGCCAGACUAGCUUUCUUGCCAAGGACUUCACAGAGAGCUAGAGUCAG
ensembl:lncRNA